rnacentral:rRNA from 1 species
AUUGAACGCUGGCGGCAUGCCUUACACAUGCAAGUCGAACGGCCGCGGGGACUUCGGUCCGCCGGCGCGUGGCGAACGGGUGAGUAAUGUAUCGGAACGUACCAUGGAGUGGGGGAUAACGUAGCGAAAGUUACGCUAAUACCGCAUAUUCUCUCCGGAGGAAAGCAGGGGACCGCAAGGCCUUGCGCUCUUUGAGCGGCCAAUAUCAGAUUAGCUAGUUGGUGAGGUAAAAGCUCACCAAGGCGACGAUCUGUAGCGGGUCUGAGAGGAUGAUCCGCCACACUGGAACUGAGACACGGUCCAGACUCCUACGGGAGGCAGCAGUGGGGAAUUUUGGACAAUGGGGGCAACCCUGAUCCAGCCAUGCCGCGUGAGUGAAGAAGGCCUUCGGGUUGUAAAGCUCUUUCGGCCGGGAAAAAAUCGCAUGGGUUAAUACCCUGUGUGGAUGAUGGUACCGGAAUAAGAAGCACCGGCUAACUACGUGCCAGCCGCCGCAGUAACAC